GGUGCAUUGGUUUUGAAGUAGUGAAUUAUCUUUGAAUUAAACAGAUUUGUUUACAAUAUGUUAAAAAUGAUUUAAAUUUGAUAGAUUAUGAUAUGAGCGAGAACCAUAAUGCAGAUAGAUUCUCUUUAUUACCUAACGGUCCGGUUUUUCCUCCAUCGCACCUUAAUAGAUUAUAAUUUACUUUUUCGUAAUUUAACUUAUUAUUUUCUAUAAGUAUAUC